GAUAAACGCUGGCGGCGUGCCUAAUACAUGCAAGUCGAGCGGGAUUGGCGGAUCGCAAGUGAAGCCAGUCUAGCGGCGGACGGCUGAGUAACACGUGGGUGACCUGCCUUGAAGUGGGGAAUAACGGUUCGAAAGAAUCGCUAAUACCGCAUACGAUCGCGGCUUCGUUGUCGCGAUGAAAGCCGUAAGGCGCUUCGAGAGGGGCCUGCGUCCGAUUAGCUAGUUGGUGGGGUAAUGGCCUACCAAGGCUCCGAUCGGUAGCUGGUCUGAGAGGAUGAUCAGCCAGACUGGGACUGAGAACGGCCCAGACUCCUACGGGUGGCUG
rnacentral:rRNA from 1 species